rnacentral:rRNA from 1 species
UGGGGAAUAUUGGGCAAUGGGCGCAAGCCUGACCCAGCCACGCCGCGUGAGUGAUGAAGGCCUUCGGGUCGUAAAGCUCUGUGGGAGGGGAAGAAAGCCCCUUGGCUAAUAUCCAAGGGUUUGACGGUACCCUUUUAGCAAGCACCGGCUAACUCCGUGCCAGCAGCCGCGGUAAUACGGAGGGUGCAAACGUUGCUCGGAAUCAUUGGGCGUAAAGCGCACGUAGGCGGCACAGUAAGUUGGAUGUGAAAGCCCUCGGCUUAACCGAGGAAGUGCAUUCAAAACUGCUGAGCUUGAGUACAAAAGAGGAUCGCGGAAUUCCCGGUGUAGAGGUGAAAUUCGUAGAUAUCGGGAGGAACACCAGCGGCGAAGGCGGCGAUCUGGGUUGAUACUGACGCUGAGGUGCGAAAGCGUGGGGAGCAAACAG